CCUACGGGAGGCAGCAGUGAGGAAUAUUGGUCAAUGGACGCAAGUCUGAACCAGCCAUGCCGCGUGCAGGAAGACGGCCCUAUGAGUUGUAAACUGCUUUUGUACGAGGAUAAACGCAGAUACGUGUACCUGUCUGAAAGUAUCGUACGAAUAAGGAUCGGCUAACUCCGUGCCAGCAGCCGCGGUAAUACGGAGGAUUCAAGCGUUAUCCGGAUUUAUUGGGUUUAAAGGGUGCGUAGGCGGUCGGAUAAGUUAGAGGUGAAAUCCCGGGGCUCAACUUCGGAAUUGCCUCUGAUACUGUUCAGCUAGAGAGUAAUUGCGGUAGGCGGAAUGUAGGGUGUAGCGGUGAAAUGCUUAG
rnacentral:rRNA from 1 species